GCACCUAGGAGAUAGCUCAGUCGGUAGAGCAUGAGAUUCUGAAUCUCAGGGUUGUGGGUUCAAGUCCCACAUAGGGCA
rnacentral:tRNA from 1 species